rnacentral:rRNA from 1 species
UACGUAGGGACCGAGCGUUGUCCGGAUUCAUUGGGCGUAAAGAGCUCGUAGGCGGUUUGUCGCGUCUGCUGUGAAAACUCGGGGCUUAACUCCGGGCCUGCAGUGGGUACGGGCAGACUAGAGUGCGGUAGGGGAGACUGGAAUUCCUGGUGUAGCGGUGAAAUGCGCAGAUAUCAGGAGGAACACCGGUGGCGAAGGCGGGUCUCUGGGCCGUAACUGACGCUGAGGAGCGAAAGCGUGGGGAGCGAACAGG